AUUUAUGGCCAUGCCACCCUGAACAAGCCCGAUCCCGUCUGAUCUCGGAAGAUAAGCAGGGUCAGGCCUGGUUAGUACUUGGAUGGAAGAUCACCUAGGAAGACCAGGUGCUGUAGGCG
rnacentral:rRNA from 1 species